rnacentral:rRNA from 1 species
GAUGAACGCUAGCGGCAGGCCUAAUACAUGCAAGACGAACGGUAAGUUGAGUAGCAAUACUUAGCCAAGAGUGUCGUACGGGUGCGUAACACGUAUGCAACCUACCCUAUACAGGAGGACAGCCUAGGGAAACCUGGAUUAACCCUUCAUAGUAUUAUUGGAUGGCAUCAUUUGAUAAUUAAAACUGAGGUGGUAUAGGAUGGGCAUGCGUCUGAUUAGUUAGUUGGCGGGGUAAUGGCCCACCAAGACGAUGAUCAGUAGGGGUUCUGAGAGGAAGAUCCCCCACACUGGCACUGAGAUACGGGCCAGACUCCUACGGGAGGCAGCAGUAGGGAAUAUUGGUCAAUGGAUGCAAGUCUGAACCAGCCAUGCCGCGUGCAGGAAGAAGGCCUUCUGGGUUGUAAACUGCUUUUGCCAGGGGAUAAAAUUCCAUGCGUGGAAAACUGAAGGUACCUGGUGAAUAAGCCACGGCUAACUACGUGCCAGCAGCCGCGGUAAU